UGCGAGUGAAGCGGGAAAAGCUCAAAUUUAAAAUCUGGCAGUCUCUGGCUGUCCGAGUUGUAAUCUAGAGAAGUGUUAUCCGCGCUGGACCGUGUACAAGUCUCCUGGAAUGGAGCGUCAUAGAGGGUGAGAAUCCCGUCUUUGACACGGACUACCAGGGCUUUGUGAUAUGCUCUCAAAGAGUCGAGUUGUUUGGGAAUGCAGCUCAAAAUGGGUGGUAAAUUCCAUCUAAAGCUAAAUAUUGGCGAGAGACCGAUAGCGAACAAGUACCGUGAGGGAAAGAUGAAAAGAACUUUGGAAAGAGAGUUAAACAGUACGUGAAAUUGCUGAAAGGGAAACGCUUGAAGUCAGUCGCGUUGUCUGGAAAUCAACCGUGAAUUUCUUGGUGUACUUUCCAGUUAACGGGUCAGCAUCAAUUUUGACUGUUGGAAAAAGGUCAGAGGAAUGUGGCAUCUUCGGAUGUGUUAUAGCCUCUAAUUGUAUACAACAGUUGGGAUUGAGGAACUCAGCACGCCGCAAGGCCGGGUUUUUAACCACGUUCGUGCUUAGGAUGCUGGCAUAAUGGCUUUAAUCGACCCGUCUUGAAACACGGACCAAGGAGUCUAACAUGCCUGCGAGUGUUUGGGUGGAAAACCCGAGCGCGUAAUGAAAGUGAAAGUUGAGAUCCCUGUCGUGGGGUGCAUCGACGCCCGGACUUGACGUUUUCUGACGGUCCCGCGGUAGAGCAUGUAUGUUGGGACCCGAAAGAUGGUGAACUAUGCCUGAAUAGGGUGAAGCCAGAGGAAACUCUGGUGGAGGCUCGUAGCGAUUCUGACGUGCAAAUCGAUCGUCAAAUUUGGGUAUAGGGGCGAAAGACUAAUCGAACCAUCUAGUAGCUGGUUCUGCA
rnacentral:rRNA from 1 species